GACGAACGCUGGCGGCGUGCUUAACACAUGCAAGUCGAACGGAAAGGCCCUGCUUUUGUGGGGUGCUCGAGUGGCGAACGGGUGAGUAACACGUGAGUAACCUGCCCUUGACUUUGGGAUAACUUCAGGGAACUGGGGCUAAUACCGGAUAGGAGCUCCUGCUGCAUGGUGGGGGUUGGAAAGUUUCGGCGGGUGGGGAUGGCCUCGCGGCUUAUCAGCUUGUUGGUGGGGUAGUGGCUUACCAAGGCUUUGACGGGUAGCCGGCCUGAGAGGGUGACCGGCCAAAUUGGGACUGAGAUCCGGCCCAGACUCCUCCGGGAGGCAGCAGGGGGGAAUAUUGCACAAUGGGCGGAAGCCUGAUGAAGCAACGCCGCGUGCGGGAUGACGGCCUUCGGGUUGUAAACCGCUUUCGCCUGUGACGAAGCGUGAGUGACGGUAAUGGGUAAAGAAGCACCGGCUAACUACGUG
rnacentral:rRNA from 1 species